rnacentral:rRNA from 1 species
GUCUCACAGUUUGAUCCUGGCUCAGAACGAACGCUGGCGGCGCGCUUAACACAUGCAAGUCGAACGAGAAGGCGGGGCAACCGCUUGUAAAAGUGGCGAACGGGUGAAGAAUACAUGGGUGACCUACCCUCGAGUGGGGAAUAACCCGCCGAAAGGCGGGCUAAUGCCGCGUACGCUUCCAUUCUCGCGGGAGUGGAAGGAAAGCUGUGCCGUUGGGUACGGCGCUCAAGGAUGGGCUCAUGUCCUAUCAGCUUGUUGGUAGGGUAACGGCCUACCAAGGCAACGACGGGUAGCUGGUCUGAGAGGACGAUCAGCCACACUGGCACUGCGACACGGGCCAGACUCC